rnacentral:rRNA from 1 species
UGGGGAAUAUUGCACAAUGGGGGCAACCCUGACGCAGCGACGCCGCGUGAGUGAGGAAGGCCUUCGGGUCGUAAAGCUCUGUCAAAGGGAAAGAAGUGCAUGGUGGCUAAUACCUGCCAUGUUUGACGGUACCCUUAAAGGAAGCACCGGCUAACUCCGUGCCAGCAGCCGCGGUAAUACGGAGGGUGCAAGCGUUGUUCGGAAUCACUGGGCGUAAAGGGCGCGUAGGCGGUUUGAUAAGUCAGAUGUGAAAGCCAACGGCUUAACUGUGGAAGUGCAUUUGAAACGGUAAGACUUGAGUAUCAGAGGGGAAAGUGGAAUUCCCGGGGUAGAGGUGAAAUUCGUAGAUAUCGUGAGGAAUACCGGUGGCGAAGGCGACUUUCUGGCUGAAUACUGACGCUGAGGCGCGAAAGCGUGGGGAGCAAACA